rnacentral:rRNA from 1 species
GAGUUUGAUCAUGGCUCAGGAUGAACGCUAGCGACAGGCCUAACACAUGCAAGUCGAGGGGCAUCGGGGCGAGGAGCAAUCCUUGCCGCCGGCGACCGGCGCACGGGUGAGUAACGCGUAUGCGACCUGCCCGUUGCAGGGGGAUAAUCGGGAGAAAUCCCGUCUAAUACCGCGUAAUGCCGCGGGGCUGCAUGGCCCUGCGGCCAAAGGAAGCGAUUCCGGCAACGGAUGGGCAUGCGUGACAUUAGCUAGUUGGCGGGGCAACGGCCCACCAAGGCGACGAUGUCUAGGGGUUCUGAGAGGAAGGUCCCCCACACUGGUACUGAAACACGGACCAGACUCCUACGGGAGGCAGCAGUGAGGAAUAUUGGUCAAUGGGCGCGAGCCUGAACCAGCCAAGUCGCGUGAGGGAUGACGGCCCUACGGGUUGUAAACCUCUUUUGUCGGGGAGCAAAUUCCGCCACGUGUGGCGGAGUCGAGAGUACCCGAAGAAAAAGCAUCGGCUAACUCCGUGCCAGCAGCCGCGGUAAUACGGAGGAUGCGAGCGUUAUCCGGAUUUAUUGGGUUUAAAGGGUGCGUAGGCGGACUGUCAAGUCAGCGGUAAAAUACGGGGGCUCAACCUCCGCCCGCCGUUGAAACUGACGGUCUUGAGUGGGCGAGAAGUAUGCGGAAUGCGUGGUGUAGCGGUGAAAUGCAUAGAUAUCACGCAGAACUCCGAUUGCGAAGGCAGCAUACCGGCGCCCAACUGACGCUGAAGCACGAAAGCGUGGGUAUCGAACAGGAUUAGAUACCCUGGUAGUCCACGCAGUAAACGAUGAAUACUAGCUGUCCGGGGCGAAUGAGCCCUGGGUGGCACAGCGAAAGCGUUAAGUAUUCCACCUGGGGAGUACGCCGGCAACGGUGAAACUCAAAGGAAUUGACGGGGGCCCGCACAAGCGGAGGAACAUGUGGUUUAAUUCGAUGAUACGCGAGGAACCUUCUCCGGGCUCAAACGACACAGGAACGUACCUGAAAGGGUUCGGCUCUACGGAGCCUGUGUCGAGGCGCUGCAUGGCUGUCGUCAGCUCGUGCCGUGAGGUGUCGGCUUAAGUGCCAUAACGAGCGCAACCCCCAUCGACAGUUGCUAACAGGUCAGGCUGAGGACUCUGUCGAGACUGCCGGCGCAAGCUGCGAGGAAGGCGGGGAUGACGUCAAAUCAGCACGGCCCUUACGUCCGGGGCGACACACGUGUUACAAUGGCAGGUACAGCGGGAAGCCACCUGGCGACAGGGAGCGGAACCCGAAAGCCUGUCUCAGUUCGGAUUGGAGUCUGCAACCCGACUCCAUGAAGCUGGAUUCGCUAGUAAUCGCGCAUCAGCCACGGCGCGGUGAAUACGUUCCCGGGCCUUGUACACACCGCCCGUCAAGCCAUGGAAGCCGGGGGUGCCUGAAGUGCGCUGCCGCGAGGAGCGCCCUAGGGUAAAACCGGUG